GAGGGUAUAGCUCAGUGGCAGAGCACAUGCUUGGCAUGCAUGAGGUCCUGGAUUCAAUCCCCAGAACCUCCA
rnacentral:tRNA from 1 species